rnacentral:rRNA from 1 species
AGAGUUUGAUCCUGGCUCAGGAUUAACGCUGGCGGCGUGCCUAAUGCAUGCAAGUCGCACGCUCGUGCCUUCGGGUACGGGAGUGGCGAACGGCUGAGGAACACGUGCGGACCGACCCUGCGGUGGGGAAUACCGGCUGGAAACAGCCAACAAUACCGCAUACGCUUGGUAUCCAAGGAAAGCCUUUGGGUGCCGCAGGACGGGCGCGCGGCCCAUCAGGUUGUUGGCGGGGUAAUGGCCCACCAAGCCUUUGACGGGUCACUGGUCUGCGAGGACGGCCAGUCAGACUGGGACUGCGACACGGCCCAGACACCUACGGGUGGCAGCAGCAAGGAAUCUUCCCCAAUGGGCGCAAGCCUGAGGGAGCAACGCCGCGUGGAGGAUGACGGCUUUCGGGUUGUAAACUCCUUUUGUGGGGGAUGAUACGGACAGUACCCCACGAAUAAGCCCCGGCUAACUCUGUGCCAGCAGCCGCGGUAAGACAGAGGGGGCAAGCGUUGUCCGGAAUUACUGGGCGUAAAGCGCGCGCAGACGGCAUGGGAUGUGCCUGGUGACAGUCCGCCGCUUAACGGCGGGAGGUCUGGGUAGACACUCGUGCUAGCAGACGGGAGAGGGGUGUGGAAUACCCGGUGGAGCGGUGAAAUGCGUAGAGAUCGGGUGGAACACCAGUGGCGAAGGCGGCACCCUGGCCCGUAUUGGACGUUGAGGCGCGACAGCGUGGGGAGCAAACGGGAUUAGAUACCCUCGUAGUCC